GAUGAAGAACGUAGCGAAAUGCGAUACUUGGUGUGAAUUGCAGAAUCCCGUGAACCAUCGAGUCUUUGAACGCAAGUUGCGCCCGAAGCCAUCAGGUUGAGGGCACGUCUGCCUGGGCGUCACAUAUCGUUGCUCGAUGCCUAUCGCAUUGCGAUAGGACUUAGGGCGAAUGAUGGCUUCCCGUGAGCGUUGUUGCCUCGCGGUUGGUUGAAAAUCGAGUCCUUGGUAGGGUGUGCCAUGAUAGAUGGUGGUCGAGUUAGAACGAGACCGAUCAUGUGCAUGCUCCCCAAAAUAUGGCCUCUGUGACCCACACGCGUCUUUUGACGCUCAUGACGAGACCUCAGGUCAGGCGGGUCUACCCGCUGAAUUUAAGCAUAUCAAUAAGCGGAGGA
rnacentral:misc_RNA from 1 species